rnacentral:rRNA from 1 species
CCUACGGGUGGCUGCAGUGGGGGAUAUUGCACAAUGGGGGGAACCCUGAUGCAGCGACGCCGCGUGGGUGAAGAAGCGCCUCGGCGCGUAAAGCCCUGUCAGCAGGGAAGAAAAUGACGGUACCUGAAGAAGAAGCCCCGGCUAACUACGUGCCAGCAGCCGCGGUAAUACGUAGGGGGCACGCGUUAUCCGGAUAUACUGGGGGGAAAGGGGGCGCAGACGGCGAUGCAAGCCAGGAGUGAAAGCCCGGGGCCCAACCCCGGAACUGCUCUUGGAACUGCGUGGCUGGAGUGUCGGAGAGGCAAGCGGAAUUCCUAGUGUAGCGGUGAAAUGCGUAGAUAUUAGGAGGAACACCAGUGGCGAAGGCGGCCUGCUGGACGAUGACUGACGUUGAGGCUCGAAAGCGUGGGGAGCAAACAGGAUUAGAUACCCCAGUAGUC